AAAGUACUCCCUCCGUCCCAAAAUUCUUGUCUUAGAUUUGUCUAGAUACAGAUGUAUCAAGUCACAUUUUAGUAUUAGAUACAUCUGUAUCUAGACAAAUCUAAGACAAGAAUUUUGGGACGGAGGGAGUAGUUG
rnacentral:pre_miRNA from 1 species